AAAAAAACGGUGAAAAAGAAAGUCCUGAACCCCAAAAAAACUCCAACAAGCACCAAGAAAGUUCCAAGCACCAGCACCAAGAACUCAAAAACCUUGACAGG